rnacentral:rRNA from 1 species
AUUGAACGCUGGCGGCAGGCCUAACACAUGCAAGUCGAACGAGUGGCGGACGGGUGAGUAAUGUCUGGGAAACUGCCCGAUGGAGGGGGAUAACUACUGGAAACGGUAGCUAAUACCGCAUACCAUCGGAUGUGCCCAGAUGGGAUUAGAUUGUAGGUGAGGUAACGGCUCACCUAGGCGACGAUCCCUAGCUGGUCUGAGGGGAUGACCAGCCCCACGGGAACUGGGACACGGUCCAGACGCCAAGGGGAGGCAGCGGUGGGAAAUAUUGCACAAGGGGCGAAAGCCUGAUGCGGCCAUGCCGCGUGGAGGAAGAAGGCCUUGGGGUUGUAAAGUACUUUCAGCGGGAAGGCUUUACCCGCAGAAGAAGCACCGGCAAACUCCGGGCCAGCAGCCGCGUAAAUA